rnacentral:rRNA from 1 species
GUAGUCCACGCUGUAAACGAUAAUCACUAGACGUUAGUCCGGCUUGCUGGAUUAGUGUCAAAGCUAACGCGUUAAGUGAUUCGCCUGGGGAGUACGGUCGCAAGAUUAAAACUCAAAGAAAUUGACGGGGGUCCGCACAAGCGGUGGAACAUGUGGUUUAAUUCGACACUACGCGAGGAACCUUACCUGGGCUUGACAUGCUUGUGACAGCUGUAGAAAUACAGUCUUCCAAGCUUCGGCUUGGACACUUGCACAGGUGCUGCAUGGCUGUCGUCAGCUCGUGUCGUGAGAUGUUGGGUUAAGUCCUCUAACGAGCGCAACCCUUGCCGUCAGUUGCUAUUUAUCUUCGGAUAAAGCACUCUGAUGGGACUGCCUGGGAAACCAGGAGGAAGGUGGGGACGACGUCAAGUCAUCAUGGUCCUUAUGUCCAGGGCUACACACGUGUUACAAUGGCUGAUACAAAGGGAUGCGAGUUCGUAAGAACAAGCAAAUCCCAAAAAGUCAGUCUAAGUUCGGAUUGAGGUCUGCAACUCGACCUCAUGAAGUUGAAAUCGCUAGUAAUCGCGUAUCAGCAACGACGCGGUGAAUACGUCCUCGGACCUUGUACACACCGCCCGUCACGCCAUGAAAGUUGUUUGUACCCAAAGUCACCUUAGCUAACUUGAAAAAGAUGCGGGUGCCUAAGGUAUGAAUGAUGAUUGGGGCG